GAAAAGGUGGUCAACAAAACAGAGUUGAGUCUUCUGAGCAAGUUUUCUCAUCGACAUUUUCGCGCAAAUCUGGACUGCCCAGUGCGUUUCUGCCAGUCUAAAUAUAUUAACCGACUCGACAAGCAUCUGCAAAGGAUCCACAGCCUGAAGAAGCCAAUGGUUAAACUGUACAUCCAGAAAGCGAAGGACAGAUACAUUGCGAGAGAACUGGC